GUAAAAUGGCUUUGCACGUCCUACUGGGUACCUAUACUCAAAGAAAUAUCAAAAACAUGACGUUCUCCGGUUGUUUUUACAGUCAAAACAAAUCUUUUUCAUUGAGAAAAUAAUUUCAUUAAAUCUUCUAAAAUUUUAUGUUAAUUUCGAGAAUUUUUCAAAGUAAAUUUUCGUGGAAAAUGUCGGAAAAUCUCGUUCAGUACAUUAUUGUUCGAAAGGAUAUUCUAAAGGAGCGCGGGCUGUACUUUAUUAUGGCAGAAUCUUGUCUUGCCUGCUCAUCAAUUCACCUCAAUUCCCACGAAGAUCCUGCAACGCAGAAAUAUUUUAGCGACAUCGACAACAUGCACAAAGUCGUCCUGGGUGUGGACAAUGAGACACAAUUGGAGAAAUUGGUGAAGGAUCUGCAAAGUAAGGACAUUGUCUUUGAGCUCAGAAGGAGUGAAGAGAACAUCCCAACAUGUUUAGCUGUUAAAGUGUACGAGAAGAGUCAAAUUGCUCCUUUAGUGAAGAAAUUAAAACUCCUUCGGUGAUGAAGAGAUUCCAGGAAUUCAAACAGUGGCACAGUACAGAAUAUCAGUCAUCUUUGAGAAUUCUUGCUGCAGGAAUUUCACCUGAUUCUUCAACGCCUCAUUUUCAGCCCUCAAUCUUGCAUUCUCCACCAGCAAAUCCUGAAAAUUUAUCAUAAAAUUGAAAGAGAUGAAAUAAAUCGAAAGGAAUCAACGUA